rfam:Gossypium hirsutum cultivar TM-1 chromosome 22, whole genome shotgun sequence
AUGUGGUUUAAUUUGAUGCAAAGCGAAAAACCUUACAAAGGCUUGACAUGCCGUGAAUCCUCUUGAAAGAGAGGGGUGCCUUCGUGAACACGGACAUAGGUGGUGCAUGGCUAUCGUCAACUCAUGUCGUAAGGUGUUGGUUUUACUAUCAAUAUACACUCAUAAAAUAAGGUUCCUCACUUAGAACAUAUUAAGUGCUCAAUUCUCUUUGUACUAUUUCCUAUACAAGU